rnacentral:rRNA from 1 species
ACUCCUACGGGAGGCAGCAGUGGGGAAUAUUGGACAAUGGGGGCAACCCUGAUCCAGCAAUGCCGCGUGUGUGAAGAAGGCCUGCGGGUUGUAAAGCACUUUCAGUAGAGAAGAAAAGCCUAGGGUUAAUACCCCUGAGUCUUGACGUUACCUACAGAAGAAGCUCCGGCUAACUCCGUGCCAGCAGCCGCGGUAAUACGGAGGGGGCAAGCGUUGUUCGGAAUUACUGGGCGUAAAGCGCGCGUAGGCGGACUGGUCAGUUGGGGGUGAAAUCCCGAGGCUUAACCUCGGAACUGCCUUCAAUACUGCCAGUCUUGAGAUCGGAAGAGGUGAGUGGAAUUCCUAGUGUAGAGGUGAAAUUCAUAGAUAUUAGGAAGAACACCAGUGGCGAAGGCGGCUCACUGGUCCGAUACUGACGCUGAGGUGCGAAAGCGUGGGGAGCGAACAGGAUUAGAUACCCUGGUAGGCUCUGCU